GAUUAAGUUAUUAAGGGCGCACGGUGGAUGCCUUGGCACUAGAAGCCGAUGAAGGACGUUACUAACGACGAUAUGCUUUGGGGAGCUGUAAGUAAGCUUUGAUCCAGAGAUUUCCGAAUGGGGAAACCCAGCAUGAGUUAUGUCAUGUUAUCGAUAUGUGAAUACAUAGCAUAUCAGAAGGCACACCCGGAGAACUGAAACAUCUUAGUACCCGGAGGAAGAAAAAGAAAAUUCGAUUCCCUUAGUAGCGGCGAGCGAAACGGGAAGAGCCCAAACCAACAAGCUUGCUUGUUGGGGUUGUAGGACACUCUAUACGGAGUUACAAAGGACGACAUUAGACGAAUCAUCUGGAAAGAUGAAUCAAAGAAGGUAAUAAUCCUGUAGUCGAAAAUGUUGUCUCUCUUGAGUGGAUCCUGAGUACGACGGAACACGUGAAAUUCCGUCGGAAUCUGGGAGGACCAUCUCCUAAGGCUAAAUACUCUCUAGUGACCGAUAGUGAACCAGUACCGUGAGGGAAAGGUGAAAAGCACCCCGGAAGGGGAGUGAAAUAGAACCUGAAACUGUGUGCUUACAAGUAGUCAGAGCCCGUUAAUGGGUGAUGGCGUGCCUUUUGUAGAAUGAACCGGCGAGUUACGAUUUGAUGCAAGGUUAAGCAGUAAAUGUGGAGCCGUAGCGAAAGCGAGUCUGAAUAGGGCGUUUAGUAUUUGGUCGUAGACCCGAAACCAGGUGAUCUACCCUUGGUCAGGUUGAAGUUCAGGUAACACUGAAUGGAGGACCGAACCGACUUACGUUGAAAAGUGAGCGGAUGAACUGAGGGUAGCGGAGAAAUUCCAAUCGAACCUGGAGAUAGCUGGUUCUCUCCGAAAUAGCUUUAGGGCUAGCCUCAAGUGAUGAUUAUUGGAGGUAGAGCACUGUUUGGACGAGGGGCCCCUCUCGGGUUACCGAAUUCAGACAAACUCCGAAUGCCAAUUAAUUUAACUUGGGAGUCAGAACAUGGGUGAUAAGGUCCGUGUUCGAAAGGGAAACAGCCCAGACCACCAGCUAAGGUCCCAAAAUAUAUGUUAAGUGGAAAAGGAUGUGGCGUUGCCCAGACAACUAGGAUGUUGGCUUAGAAGCAGCCAUCAUUUAAAGAGUGCGUAAUAGCUCACUAGUCGAGUGACACUGCGCCGAAAAUGUACCGGGGCUAAACAUAUUACCGAAGCUGUGGAUUGUCCUUUGGACAAUGGUAGGAGAGCGUUCUAAGGGCGUUGAAGCAUGAUCGUAAGGACAUGUGGAGCGCUUAGAAGUGAGAAUGCCGGUGUGAGUAGCGAAAGAAGGGUGAGAAUCCCGUCCACCGAUUGACUAAGGUUUCCAGAGGAAGGCUCGUCCGCUCUGGGUUAGUCGGGUCCUAAGCUGAGGCCGACAGGCGUAGGCGAUGGAUAACAGGUUGAUAUUCCUGUACCACCUAUAAUCGUUUUAAUCGAUGGGGGGACGCAGUAGGAUAGGCGAAGCGUGCGAUUGGAUUGCACGUCUAAGCAGUAAGGCUGAGUAUUAGGCAAAUCCGGUACUCGUUAAGGCUGAGCUGUGAUGGGGAGAAGACAUUGAGUCUUCGAGUCGUUGAUUUCACACUGCCGAGAAAAGCCUCUAGAUAGAAAAUAGGUGCCCGUACCGCAAACCGACACAGGUAGUCAAGAUGAGAAUUCUAAGGUGAGCGAGCGAACUCUCGUUAAGGAACUCGGCAAAAUGACCCCGUAACUUCGGGAGAAGGGGUGCUCUUUAGGGUUAACGCCCAGAAGAGCCGCAGUGAAUAGGCCCAAGCGACUGUUUAUCAAAAACACAGGUCUCUGCUAAACCGUAAGGUGAUGUAUAGGGGCUGACGCCUGCCCGGUGCUGGAAGGUUAAGAGGAGUGGUUAGCUUCUGCGAAGCUACGAAUCGAAGCCCCAGUAAACGGCGGCCGUAACUAUAACGGUCCUAAGGUAGCGAAAUUCCUUGUCGGGUAAGUUCCGACCCGCACGAAAGGCGUAACGAUUUGGGCACUGUCUCAACGAGAGACUCGGUGAAAUCAUAGUACCUGUGAAGAUGCAGGUUACCCGCGACAGGACGGAAAGACCCCGUGGAGCUUUACUGUAGCCUGAUAUUGAAAUUCGGCACAGCUUGUACAGGAUAGGUAGGAGCCUUUGAAACGUGAGCGCUAGCUUACGUGGAGGCGCUGGUGGGAUACUACCCUAGCUGUGUUGGCUUUCUAACCCGCACCACUUAUCGUGGUGGGAGACAGUGUCAGGCGGGCAGUUUGACUGGGGCGGUCGCCUCCUAAAAGGUAACGGAGGCGCUCAAAGGUUCCCUCAGAAUGGUUGGAAAUCAUUCAUAGAGUGUAAAGGCAUAAGGGAGCUUGACUGCGAGACCUACAAGUCGAGCAGGGUCGAAAGACGGACUUAGUGAUCCGGUGGUUCCGCAUGGAAGGGCCAUCGCUCAACGGAUAAAAGCUACCCCGGGGAUAACAGGCUUAUCUCCCCCAAGAGUUCACAUCGACGGGGAGGUUUGGCACCUCGAUGUCGGCUCAUCGCAUCCUGGGGCUGUAGUCGGUCCCAAGGGUUGGGCUGUUCGCCCAUUAAAGCGGUACGCGAGCUGGGUUCAGAACGUCGUGAGACAGUUCGGUCCCUAUCCGUCGUGGGCGUAGGAAAUUUGAGAGGAGCUGUCCUUAGUACGAGAGGACCGGGAUGGACAUACCUCUGGUGUACCAGUUGUCGUGCCAACGGCAUAGCUGGGUAGCUAUGUGUGGACGGGAUAAGUGCUGAAAGCAUCUAAGCAUGAAGCCCCCCUCAAGAUGAGAUUUCCCAACUUCGGUUAUAAGAUCCCUCAAAGAUGAUGAGGUUAAUAGGUUCGAGGUGGAAGCAUGGUGACAUGUGGAGCUGACGAAUACUAAUCGAUCGAAGACUUAAUCAA
rnacentral:rRNA from 1 species